CCUACGGGUGGCAGCAGUCGAGAAUCAUUCACAAUGGGGGAAACCCUGAUGGUGCGACGCCGCGUGGGGGAAUGAAGGUCUUCGGAUUGUAAACCCCUGUCAUGUGGGAGCAAAUUAAAAAGAUAGUACCACAAGAGGAAGAGACGGCUAACUCUGUGCCAGCAGCCGCGGUAAUACAGAGGUCUCAAGCGUUGUUCGGAAGCACUGAGCGUAAAGCGUGCGUAGGCGGUUUCGUAAGUCGGGUGUGAAAGGCGCGGGCUCAACCCGCGGACGGCACAUGAUACUGCGAGACUCGAGUGAUGGAGGGGGAACCGGAAUUCUCGGUGUAGCAGUGAAAUGCGUAGAUAUCGAGAGGAACACUCGUGGCGAAGGCGGGUUCCUGGACAUUAACUGACGCUGAGGCACGAAGGCCAGGGGAGCGAAAGGGAUUAGAUACCCGAGUAGUC
rnacentral:rRNA from 1 species